rnacentral:rRNA from 1 species
CAGCCGCCGCGGUAAUACGGAGGUGGCUAGCGUUACUCGGAUUUACUGGGUGUAAAGGGUGCGUAGGCGGCCUGGAAAGUCAGAAGUGAAAUACUUCGGCUCAACCGAAGAGACGUUUCUGAAACUUCUGGGCUAGAGAGUCAAAGAGGAGAAUGGAACUGCCGGUGUAGGGGUGAAAUCCGUAGAUAUCGGCAGGAACACCAGCGGCGAAGGCGGUUCUCUGGUUGACUUCUGACGCUGAGGCACGAAAGCUAGGGGAGCAAACAGGAUUAGAUACCCUGGUAGUCCUAGCCGUAAACGAUGCGCACUAGGUGUCCGCAUUAUGUGGGUGCCGUAGUUAACACGUUAAGUGCGCCACCUGGGGACUACGGCCGCAAGGUUGAAACUUAAAGGAAUUGGCGGG